GUCCCCAUCGUCUAGCCCGGUCUAGGACAACGGCCUUUCGAGCCGUCAACACGGGUUCAAAUCCCGUUGGGGACG
rnacentral:tRNA from 1 species